UUACGCUAAUACCGCAUCGAUCUAUGGAUGAAAGCGGGGAUCGCAAGACCUCGCGCGAUUGGAGCGGCCGAUAUCAGAUUAGGUAGUUGGUGAGGUAAAGGCUCACCAAGCCGACGAUCUGUAGCUGGUCUGAGAGGACGACCAGCCACACUGGGACUGAGACACGGCCCAGACUCCUACGGGAGGCAGCAGUGGGGAAUUUUGGACAAUGGGCGCAAGCCUGAUCCAGCAAUGCCGCGUGCAGGAUGAAGGCCUUCGGGUUGUAAACUGCUUUUGUACGGAACGAAACAGUGAGCUCUAAUACAGUUUGCUAAUGACGGUACCGUAAGAAUAAGCACCGGCUAACUACGUG
rnacentral:rRNA from 1 species